rnacentral:rRNA from 1 species
UACAGAGGGUGCUAGCGUUGUUCGGAAUCAUUGGGCGUAAAGAGCGCGCAGGCGGUCGUUCAAGUCGCGUGUGAAAGCCCCCGGCUCAACUGGGGAGGGUCACGCGAUACUGAUCGACUGGAAGGCAGGAGAGGGUAGUGGAAUUCCCGGUGUAGUGGUGAAAUGCGUAGAUAUCGGGAGGAACACCAGUGGCGAAGGCGACUACCUGGCCUGUUCUUGACGCUGAGGCGCGAAAGCUAGGGGAGCAAACGGG